UCAACAUAACACGUGUAAGCACAUAAGCAGUUAUAUCAUACAAAUAUAUUAUAAUAAAUGAGCAUCCUAAUUGGGUGGCCCUUUUGAGCCAAGGGUUGACCUAACGUAUUUGAAGGAAAUAUAUGCUUUAUAAAAUCAAUCCAUUAUCUCCCAAAAACCUUCAUAGGUGUACAUAAAUGGAAUAAAUGCCUACAAAAUUUGCACAAAAGGGAUACAAAAGGAAAAAUAACAUGUGAAAAAGAACAAUAUCCCGCGUAGAGGAUAAGAAAUACUAGCUCCUCAAUGAUCUUUUAUCGGCCUUCACCCUUUUAGCUUUGUCCAUUUUUUGUCAUUGGCGACAAUCAUUGAUAAUCAAGCAAAUUUUGUAUAACUAUGCUCUAGAUGCAAUCAUCUAAAUCGAUCAAUUUCUUGCUUGGCUUGCUUCAAUUCCUCCCCCAGUUGGCGUAUGAUUGAGGCGUCCUUACACGAAAGUAAGCAAAACAAGCCUUCUACCGAUCCCCAAAGAAUAAUAUAUUGGAUUAAAUAAAUAUAUAUUUCUUCAACACACAAAUAUGAUUCGUCUGUUAUUGACUCGGGGUCAAUAGACACAGGGCAAGUUUUCCAAUAGGCACAAUACCCCCUUCGGGUAUUGGGUCAUCCGAGGCUUAUGCCUAAAAAGGGUUUUGGUUUAGCUCUAUUCUGGGUGUCUAGAGUGGGUUUUAACUAAGUUCCCAAGAAGACGACUUGGAUUUGGAAAUACGAACAGCCAUCAGUCAACUCACGUGCUAAUAAACGAUCGUAUUUCCAACACGUUACUUGGAAUUGAACAAUAGGGGCCGGGAUAUCCACGAAACCCCAAAAUAAUUUAAUCAAUGCAGGAUAAUGCUUUGAGAUGCAAUAAUUAAAUACCACUAAAUCAAAACAUAUAAACACGUAAACAGUUAAUCAAAAGAUGAAAUCAAACAUUUGAUUAGAACCUAGUUAAAUAUCCCCAGCAGAUUCGCCAUUUCUGUUUUGAGAAAAUUUUGUAUUUUGAAGAGUCACCACUUAAUUUAUUUGAAAAGGAAUUAAAAAAACCUUUGUAAGAUACUUUAAACGAUCCAAAAUAGAAAAAUCAUUUAAAAUUUGAAGAUUCUGAGUACGCGGUUCUUAUAAACGUUUUAGGAAGGUUUUAGGCUCCUAAAACGUUCGCUAACUUUCGGUUAUCUGGACUUCUUGAAAUUAUCUUUUGUUUAACUUCAAUUGGUUGUUGGAAAGUGAUUGAUUUUAGAAAAUGACGUGUAAAACAAUUUUGGAUUACUUAAUAGGGAUUUUAACUAAAUCUAAACAAAUGAAAGGCAAAUAAACACAUAAGGAGUGAAGGAGAGAAAAUAAAAGACUUAGGCCAUUGGGCCCAAAUCUAAUAGGGAUUUUGUCCCACUUGCACCUGUCCCGUGGGCCUAAAAUCUGCUCCAUCUGUAUUAAAUUUACAACUUUAGCUUCGAGGCCCAAAUGAAUGAAUAAAUAAAUAAAUAAAAGACGACAAUGAAUGUAAAUAAAUAAAUAAAUAAAAAGAUACUUUCUAGUCUCUUUGUCUCUUCAAAGAUGUGACUUUAACCCAUUCUUCUUCUUUCGACUCCUUGUAUAUUCAUAUGUCAUGAGAUUGACGUUUGACCUUUCUUUUGAGGCUGACUCGUGGAGAUGGGCCUUAUUGACCCAUUAUGAAUGCAAAGAAAGGGAAAGUCCCCUUGGAUCCCGAACAUAUUUUCCAUGCCAAAUAAAAAAGAAGAAUUAGCACUUCAUUCAUAAUAAGAGUGAUUAAUUUCAUAAAAUAAAUAAGAAAUACAACCGAUUCAGACUAAAUAUAAUCUUGAACAAGUUCAUGGAUUUACUUUUCGUAUUUUUUCAAGUAAUCAAAACAAGAUCGAUCUUUGUACUAAUCUAUAAUACUAACUCGGAGUAUUUCAUAGCAUAAAGAGGCAUUUCCAGGCAAUUGAAAAGAAAUAUAGGGAGGUAAUAAGAGAUUAGGCUAGAUAUGAAAGUUAAUGAAAUAAUUCGUUAUUUAAGCCAUCAGAACACAAUUCGAAAACCAAUUCAUUUUUUUAUAGGAAAUUGGGCACAAAUCUUGACAGUUUACUUGAAAUACAAUAUUUAAUAUCAAAAUAGCAAGAAGGCACCUCACAUAUUCAUCAAAAUUUUACUAUCAAGACAGGGAAACUAUAGCCCUUCACCAUUUAGUAAUAAGUUGAAUAUAAAUUGAAGCAAAGACAUCGAUAAAAAUAAUAACAAGAAUACUAACACUUUGCUGUAAAACAAAAAAAAAAGAAGGAAGAACAUACAUUUUUUUUCAAUGUAACAAAAGCUACCUAGAAAAUUAUCGAACAAAUCAUGGUUGCUCCAUCUCCGCCAUAAAAAUAUGAAUACAAUUAAUUUCAAGAACAUAGAGACGGACAAGAAUUGAACUUCGAAAGUUGCUUCUUAUAACUCAUUCACCUUAAGUUUCACAGUAACUCAACAAGAAUAUUUUUUCAAGGUAUUCUUCAAAAAAGAGCAAAAAAGAAACAACAACAUGACCCUUCUCUAGAUUUCCACAGGGAUAGUUUCAGAACAACCCCGUAAUAUGAUAAAAUUGAAGGACAAUCCAUACGACCACCAACACUAAAUUUCAUGAAGAAAACAUAAUGGUAUGGAUAAACUUUACAUAAUGACCUUUCAAAGAAGAAGAAAGAAAUUCAGAAUACUUAUUUUAUUUAUAUCGAACUCUCAUAUCAUUAUUCACAAGGUAGGAUGAAUUGGAAAAACAUGACAGUAUCAUCCAUAAAUAGAAUGAACAUCUAUCAUUCAAUAUCCAUAGACUACUCAAUGUAAAGAGAAAAAAAAAAGAAUGGAACCGACUUCAAAAAUAAAAAUUUAAGACCAACAUCAAUGUCGAAAUCUAUUUUCUAUGAAAUCUAACACCAUAAACAACAACGAGCAGGAACAUUAUCACAUCUAAUCUCAUCAAAAGAAAAUAGAACCUAUGGAAUUUAAUGCCUCUACAGCAAACAAUCUCUGCAUACAACACAAUAAUCUAAAUCAGACUACGACUACGACUACCACUAUUACAUUGUGAUAGUAUAAAUAAAAGAUAUUGAAAACUAACCGGAUGUUGGGAUACAAAAUGAGACCACGAGCUACCGACCACCAUCGAAAAGUUUCGCCGCGACUUUGAAAACCCAUCAACUUUUUGCAAUAAAACUAUUUACUAGAAAAAUAGACUUUUUGCUUGAAAGUUUUUUCAAC
rnacentral:lncRNA from 1 species